UUGAGAUUCUGGCUGAUGGAAAGAUGCCUGGAGGGAGAUUGGAAUGAUCAAGGCAGAGAGAGGCUAACUUCCCGCUGAGAUCUAUCGUGUGGUUUUGGUGUUAAUCUAAUGCUGUGUAAUCUUACGCUCUGUGCACCUGUGCAACAGAGAAGCUUGGGCACUGGGAAAAGCUUCCUGUUUUAUUUUAAACAAAGAUGGGACUAAUGUAAGCACUCCUAAACUUGGGUUUUAAUUUUUAUAAGGCAAGCCAAGACCUUUCCUAUGUCAUUCCAGCGACAGUGACUGUGAAUGUGGGGGAAUGCAUUACCUAAGCCAAGAGGCAUUAAUUCUGAUGGGGUGAUUUAAUGAAGCAAAGUAUAUUAAUGAGCUCAAAGAGACAAGAAGGACAAGAAUGAGGAACUGGAAGAAAGAAGCUCCAUCCACCCACCCACCUGCAGAAUGUUUUCCUGUUGUCCAACAUGGAGGUGAAUGGACUGAAGUUUCAAGUGGUGGUGACAUAGCUAACCUGAUCCUGAAUGCCCAGAUCCCCAGGGAUAUCAACAGGAGUCGGGGGUCGGGGGGAACAGCACUCGGCACUUCUCAGGAUUGGGCCUUCUAUCAACUUUCUCCCCUUUUUACCGCGUUAUUGUCAGAGUUGUCUUCUGUACCCAUGCUUUAGAAAGAGACCUCAUCAUACCUGGUGGUGAAGUUGUCAACAAAUGUCUCUUCAAUGGCUGUGCAAGAUUUCUGUUACAAUGAGCAAUUUCUGUCUCUGGGAAUGAUAGUCGAGAGGGGAAGGGAAAAUACAGAUGAACUCUGAGCCAGCUUAAUGCCUGCUAAACAAAACUGUGUUUGAGUCUAGGGACUCAGACAAAGGAAGUUAAUUAUAAAAUCAUUUUAUGCCCGGAUUAUCAGCUUUGCUUGCCUAAAAACACAGCACACUUGCAUGGAAGUAAGUGGAAUGUAACUUUAGUACACUUGUGUUGUCAAUUACCUACCUAAUAGGCUUAUAAUUGAAAUUAUUAUCAUGUAGUUUUCAUAAUAAGCAAUAAACGCUGUACAGUAACUUA